rnacentral:rRNA from 1 species
UGGCGGCGUGCCUAAUACAUGCAAGUCGAGCGAGCCGAACUAAUUGAUUACCUUCGGGUAUGAAGUUAGGGAAGCGAGCGGCGGAUGGGUGAGUAACACGUGGGUAACCUACCCUAUAGUCUGGGAUACCACUUGGAAACAGGUGCUAAUACCGGAUAAAAGGAGAGAUCACAUGAUUUCUUUUUGAAAGGCGGCGUAAGCUGUCGCUAAAGGAUGGACCCGCGGUGCAUUAGCUAGUUGGUAAGGUAACGGCUUACCAAGGCAACGAUGCAUAGCCGAGUUGAGAGACUGAUCGGCCACAUUGGGACUGAGACACGGCCCAAACUCCUACGGGAGGCAGCAGUAGGGAAUCUUCCACAAUGGACGCAAGUCUGAUGGAGCAACGCCGCGUGAGUGAAGAAGGUUUUCGGAUCGUAAAGCUCUGUUGUUGGUGAAGAAAGAUAGUGAGAGUAACUGCUCAUUAUUUGCCGGUAAUCAACCAGAAAGUCACGGCUAACUACGUGCCAGCAGCCGCGGUAAUACGUAGGUGGCAAGCGUUGUCCGGAUUUAUUGGGCGUAAAGCGAGCGCAGGCGGAAAGAUAAGUCAGAUGUGAAAGCCCUCGGCUUAACCGAGGAAUAGCAUCGGAAACUGUCUUUCUUGAGUGCAGAAGAGGANAGUGGAACUCCUGUGUAGCGGUGGAAUGCGUAAAUAUAUGGAANANCACNGUGGCGAANGCGNCUCUCUGGUCUGUACUGACNCUGAGNCUCNAAACAUGGGUAGCGACANGAUAAAUACCCUGGUNUCCNUGCUGUAACAAUANNGCUAAUGUUGGGAGNUUCCCCCNCCAUGCUGCACUANCCAUUAACCCNCCCNNGGGAAACCACCCNGGUUAACCAAGAAUNACGGGGCCCCCNACNGGGNACAUUGNUUUUUNAAAACCNAAACUNCCGGNUGAUNUUGCCCCAAANA